rnacentral:rRNA from 1 species
UCAGAAUCUUGCACAAUGGGCGAAAGCCUGAUGCAGCGAUGCCGCGUGUGCGAAGAAGGCCUUCGGGUCGUAAAGCACUGUCAGAGGGGAAGAUUAUGACGGUACCCUCAAAGGAAGCCACGGCUAAUUACGU